GUGCAGCAGGCGCGAAACCUUCGCAAUGCAGGAAACUGCGACGAGGGAACUCCAAGUGCCUACGCUCAGCGUAGGCUGUUCUCAAGCCUAGAAAGCUUGAGGAGUAAGGGCUGGGGUAAGACGGGUGCCAUCUGUGGUAGCAGUCAAUAGAUUCGAUUUGUUACUGCAAGGCAUAAGCCGCCGCGGUAAUACCCGCAGCCCAAGUGGUGGCCGCUUUUAUUGGGCCUAAAGCGUCCGUAGCCGGCCCGGUAAAUGCCUGGGGUAAAUCGUGGAGCCCCAACUUCACGAAUUCCGGGUAGACUGCCGAGCUCGGGACCGGAGAGGGAGAGGGUACUUCAGGGGUAGGGUGAAAAUUUCCGUUUCCAUUUAACGCUUUUGCGCGAAGCGGAAAGGGUUAUCACAAUCCCGUGUAAUCCCCUGGAGGACCACCCGUGG
rnacentral:rRNA from 1 species